ACUAUAACUCUACUAUAACUUAAACUGUUUAGAUGUUUAGCUUUGUUUCCUCCAGACAGGAGACAUGUUCUCCUGUAUCCUUCAUGACAACAUCCUUCAGCACCAACUCCAGCACAACAACACACACUUCAACAUCAUCUUCAUGAACUGUCAGUCCAAACCAGACCCAUCACAGAGAAAUCUUCUACAUCCUGCCAUCCCAGUGUUUCUUCAAAGCAGAGCAUAAAAUGGCCCCUGUUAACCCUCACCUGACCACCUGGCUGACCCUGAGAAAAACCACACAUCAUGCUGCCUCAGACCACCAGCAACAGUGAACUCAGCACUGCUGCAUCAUACAGAGACAUGUCCUCCUCCUGCCAGUGACCAGGGUUCUUCUCAGCUUUCAGAAGGCCUUUCUCUCCUGUGAAUCCUUCAUAGCUGAGACCCUCACAGAUGAACAGAAAGUUAUCAUCAACACUUCUGAAACAUCCACAUGUUAAAUCUCACUGACAGGAGAUGAUUUGUGCUCUGCAGCACUGUUCAAGGAUCAGUUCCACCUUCAUGCUUGCAUCAUCUUCCUCUCCAGUAGAGACAAACUGCUGUUGACUCUUUGGUUGGUGGUCACAUGUCUGUCCCCUGUCUUCACACACAUCCAUAAAGGAUGUGAAGGGGACCAAGGGCCUCCUCACGAUGGAGGGGGACAUUGUGCAAGUAUGUUGAUUCUGUUCAUCACAGUAACACACUGAUACACUAACUUUAAUCAACAUUCCCAGUAAUUACAAUGUGUGCACUGAUCUUCUGUAGGUUUAUUGUUAAAUCA